UAUACAAAAUGAACUGAAUCCUUUAUGGAACCAAAGAUUUAUGUAUAUGAUAUAUGUAAUGAAUUUUGACAAGUAAAUCUCAGAGCAGUCAUGGAAUAGACGGUAGGGGCUAUAGUCCUGUCUAAUCGCCAUGAUAGCCUGGUAUAAAGUCCGGCUGAUUGGUAAGGUUAUGGUAGCUUGGUAUUGAGUCUGGCCGAUUGACAAAGCCAUGGUAGCCUGAUAUAAAGUCCGGCCGAUUGGCAAGGUCAUGGUAGCUUAGUAUAAAGUCCGGCCGAUUGACCCAAGAAUGAAAUGAGAUCAAUUGAUAGUUGCGAAAUCUAUUGAUCGUCCACCUAGAGGGGGUUUAAUUUCUAGGUUGAGUACUCAGUAGCCGGUCAUUACAUGUACUUGUUAUAAGCUAAUAUGGAAAGAUUUAUAAGCUAAUAUGAAAUGAUUUACGAGUUGA
rnacentral:lncRNA from 1 species